AUUGAACGCUGGCGGCAGGCCUAACACAUGCAAGUCGAGCGAGUGGCGGACGGGUGAGUAAUGUCUGGGGAACUGCCCGAUAGAGGGGGAUAAAUACUGGAAACGGUGGCUAAUACCGCAUACUAUCAGAUGAACCCAGAUGGGAUUAGCUAGUUGGUGGGGUAAAGGCUCACCUAGGCGACGAUCCUUCGCUGGUCUGAGAGGAUGAUCAGCCACACUGGGACGGAGACACGGCCCAGACGCCUACGGGAGGCAGCAGUGGGGAAUAUUGCACAAUGGGCGCAAGCCUGAUGCAGCCAUGCCGCGUGUAUGAAGAAGGCCUUAGGGUUGUAAAGUACUUUCAGCGGGGAGGCGUUACCCGCAGAAGAAGCACCGGCUAACUCCGUGCCAGCCGCCGCGGUAAUAC
rnacentral:rRNA from 1 species